UCGUGCUAGAUGGGGAGCUAGCGGUGCCCUGCACCCGCAAUCCGCUAUAGCGGGGUCGAACUCCCUGCCUAGGAGCGUGCGCGCUGGCCAAUGUCCUGCCAGGCAGCGUUGAUGAUUGGGUCCUGCGCGGCAGAGGCCUGCGAACCCCGUCAGGUCCGGAAGGAAGCAGCGGUAAGAAGUGUCCUCUGGGUGACGCGGGGCUACCUGGUCUGAGCCCGCCAGCAGAACUAGAUCAGUGUGCCGUUACAACGCAGGGUGCACGG
rnacentral:SRP_RNA from 1 species